rnacentral:rRNA from 1 species
CCUACGGGAGGCAGCAGUGGGGAAUAUUGGACAAUGGGGGGAACACUGAUCCAGCGACGCCGCGUGAGUGAAGAAGUAUUUCGGUAUGUAAAGCUCUAUCAGCAGGGAAGAAAGAAAUGACGGUACCUGACUAAGAAGCCCCGGCUAACUACGUGCCAGCAGCCGCGGUAAUACGAAGGGGGCAAGCGUUAUCCGGAUUUACUGGGUGUAAAGGGAGCGUAGACGGCGAUGCAAGUCUGAAGUGAAAGGCGGGGGCGCAACCCCCGGACUGCUUUGGAAACUGUAUGGCUGGAGUGCAGGAGAGGUAAGUGGAAUUCCUAGUGUAGCGGUGAAAUGCGUAGAUAUUAGGAGGAACACCAGUGGCGAAGGCGGAUUACUGGACUGUAACUGACGUUGAGGCUCGAAAGCGUGGGGAGCAAACAGGAUUAGAUACCCGGGUAGUC